GGGGAGAGGAGGAGAGGAGAGUGGGUAGCAGAGGGGAGGGGAGAGGAGAGGACAGUGGGUGGCAGAGGUCCAGACUCUCAAAGGCUGUGAAUGUCAGGGAAAGAUCCAGCUGCUCCUGGGCAGAGUGGGGCAGGUGCACAGGUUUUAACAGCCUGGGUGGGCAGGUGAGUUUCCUGUUCUGGCCUCUUCCUUUUCAAUGUUGAGAUCCCCUCCUUCCAGGAAGGAUGAGGACUCUUUGAACCAUAACAGGGCCUGUGACAAAAGAGCUGAUGUAAUCAACUUCAGGAAAUAGUAGGGGACAGAAUUGACUAAGCUCUCACCCCAUGAUUUUAUCAGUGAUCAACUUAGUCAUUGAUGAAACUGACCAAUCAUUAUACAGUGAAUUCACUGGAAUCAUGUGACUGAACUUCUCUAGGAUGAGGCUUGACGAAGAAUCCAGAGACUGAUUGGAAGAGAAAGUAAGGACGUUCUACCCAGACUUUGGGAGAGGGGAGCCACAUGGAGGCACGAAGGUCUUGUGGUGUGUGGUGCACUCGGAGCAGAGCACACGCGUGAGGGACGACGCUUAUUCCUGAAGAUGAGAGCUGACAUGGAGCAAAGACUCAACGGGAAAUGGAUCUGACCCCAGAGAUACAGCAUCACCAGCUACACAGUCCUCAUGAAGCACAGCUGUCCACCAGAGCAGCAGUGGGGGCUGGAGGGUCCACAGGCCUGAAGACUAAACGAAUCAUAGGAACACAGAAGUGAGUGAGGCUGUCCAAAGCUGGCUUUCAUUUCUUCCUCCAUUGGUGGGAUUUCCAGUCAAAGAUCUUCACCUCUCCCAGCCUCAGACCCAUGGUGGAGGGACCCCGUGGGAUGUUGAGGAAUUGAAAGGCUGUUCCACAGACUAAGCCAAAUGGGAUCCUUGACAGGUC